GACGAACGCUGGCGGCGUGCUUAAUGCAUGCAAGUCGCACGAGGCCCCAUGGACGGGUAACCGUCCCGGGGUCCUAGUGGCGAACGGGUGAGUAACACGUGAGGAACCUGCCCCGGAAUCUGGGAUAGCCCAGGGAAACCUGGAUUAAUACCGGAUACCCUCGAUCGGUCGCAUGUCUGGUCGAGGAAAGGUCCGCCGUUCCGGGAUGGCCUCGCGGCCUAUCAGCUUGUUGGCGGGGUAACGGCCCACCAAGGCAACGACGGGUAGCUGGUCUGAGAGGACGAUCAGCCACACUGGGACUGAGACACGGCCCAGACUCCUACGGGUGGCAG
rnacentral:rRNA from 1 species